AAGCCAUGGUAGAGGCGCGGCACACAGCUCAGUAACACGUGGCUAACCUACCCUUGAGAUGGAAACAACCCCGGGAAACUGGGGCUAAUUUCCGAUAGGUGAAGACUCCUGGAAUGGAUCUUCGCCUAAAGGGCGCUUAGACCAUGCUUUUAGGCGUUGCCCAAGGAUGGGGCCGCGGCCGAUCAGGUUGUUGGUGAGGCAACGGCUCACCAAGCCUUUAACCGGUACGGGCCGUGAGAGCGGGAGCCCGGAGAUGGGCACUGAGACAANGGCCCAGGCCCUACGGGGCGCAGCAGUCGCGAAAACUCCGCAAUACGCGAAGGCGUGACGGGGUCAUCCCGAGUGCCGUCCGCUGAGGAUGGCUUUUCCCCAGUGUAGAUAGCUGGGGGAAUAAGGAGAGGGCAAGUCUGGUGUCAGCCGCCGCGGUAAUACCAGCUCUUCGAGUGGUAGGAUGUUUAUUGGGCCUGAAGCAUCCGUAGCCGGCUGGGCAAGUCCCCCGUUAAAUCCAGCGAUUUAAUCGUUGGAUUGCAGGGUAUACUGCUCGGCUAGGGGGUGGGAGAGGCCGACGGUAUUCUCGGGGUAGGGGUGAAAUCCUAUAAUCCCGGGAGGACCACCAGUGGCGAAGGCUGUCGGCUAGAACAUGCUCGACGGUGAGGGAUGAAAGCUGGGGGAGCGAACCGGAUUAGAUACCCGGGUAGUCCUAGCUGUAAACGAUGCAGGCUAGGUGUUAGGGCGGCCACGUGCCGCCUUAGUGCCGCAGGAAAGCUGUUAAGCCUGCCGCCUGGGGAGUACGGCCGCAAGGCUGAAACUUAAAGGAAUUGGCGGGAGAGCACCACAAGGGGUGAAGCUUGCGGUUUAAUUGGAGUCAACGCCGGAAAUCUCACCGGGGGCGACAGCAGAAUGAAAGCCAGAUUAAAGGUCUUGCCAGACGAGCUGAGAGGAGGUGCAUGGCCGUCGCCAGUUCGUGCCGUGAGGUGUCCUGUUAAGUCAGGCAACGAUCGAGACCCGCGUCCCCCGUUGCCAUUAGCCUUGAGCUAAGCACACUGGGGAGACCGCCGCUGAUAAGGCGGAGGAAGGAGCGGGCCACGGCAGGUCAGUAUGCCCCGAAUCUCCCGGGCCACACGCGAGCUGCAAUGGCAGGUACAAUGGGUUCCGACCUCGAAAGGGGAAGGCAAUCUCUAAAACCUGCCGUAGUUGGGAUCGAGGGUUGAAACUCACCCUCGUGAACAUGGAUCCCUA
rnacentral:rRNA from 1 species